CGGGAGGGUGUGCGCAGGCGUAGUAGCUGUGUUUUAACCCCGCCGGCAGGCGCUCCGCGCAGCACUGCCCAGGGAGCCAACUGUUUUGCGGAGCUAACGAGGUCCGCGCUGCUAACCAGGAAGAAGAUUCAAUCCUUCUGCAUCAUUCAGAAGCUCUGCACAAGGGCUGCCUUUAACAUCUGAAUACAACCAUCAAACCUGUACUUGCUGUGGUAAUGAAUAUAUAUAGGCUGCCUGGAGGUCUAAGUAUGAACUAAAUAACUUGGCAUAU